CGAAAUAAUUAUGGAAUUAAUUAUAUUUAAAAAGUAAAUUAAUGUCGCAUCGCUAGCAUUUUUAAAAAAGGAAUACGGUAUACCGUCUUCUCCCGGUGCAGAGUCUUUAAUAGAAGCUAGAACACCUUUAAGUUCUACUAGAGUAAAAGGAGAGUCAAGUUCGAAUAAUUCGUCAGAGACGGAUAGAGAAAUAUUGUAAAGGCAUUCCGGCACAUAACUAGGAGCAAGGCGAUCUAAAAAUUUAUUCGCUAAAGUUAAAUCGAGUGCAGAACGUGAUGUAUGAUCACUAAAGGCAGAUCUGAAUCUUUUAAUAUUAUUCCAAACGACUGAUGAAUUAACUUCUGGACAGAUAGAAGAACAAAAUCUUCUCCAGCCUUCUAAUUUCUUUUUUUUCAGUAGUUUUCGAGUAGAACGUGAAACUGCGGUGUAAAUUUCAAAAUUUUCUGUUGUCAUGUAAUUAUUAUAAUUUUUUUCAGCCUCUUUACGAUUUUUAAUUGCUUCCGUACAAUCUUUGUCCCACCAAGGUGGGGAGGGAAUUUUCCCUGAAGCACUAUUUUUAACAGGAAAUAAUAAAUCAGCAACCUCCUUCAUAUUUAUCAUCAAGUCAUUACAACAUUGAUGUUCAUUUCCAUGGUAAACAAUAGGUAACUCCGAUAUUUUAUUAUCUAAAUAUUGUUUGUAAAUAUUCCAGUCUACAUUUGAUAAAUUAUAUUUAAGCCGAGGACCACUCUUUCGACUUGAGGGAAUGGAAAUUGGAAAAGAAAGAAUGAGGGGAAAGUGAUCGCUUCCGAAGGUAGAGGAAUGAGGAUACCACGACAGUGAAGAAGCUAAAUCAGAAGAACAUAUUGAAAUGUCAGGAGCACUAAACCCUUCAUUUGGUGCAGUUCUACGUGUUGGUACAUCUGAGUUAAUAAUACAUAAGUUGAAAGAAGAUUGAAAAUGAGAUUUAUUGGACGGAGAUGAUGAUGUUAAUACAUCUGAAUAUAGUUUAGAAGUGGGAGGAUGAAAUUUUGAUGCUUCAGCAUAAGAAACACAACUGUGGGCCAUUGUUUCUUUAAUGGCUUUCUGACGUGCAUAUUCAGGACAUUUCUUACUAAUUGCUGAAUGAGAACCAUUACACAAGAUACAAGAAACAUUUUCCUCAUCUACUUCACAUUUAUCACCUGUAUGAUUUAGCCUGCAUUUAUAACAUCGAGGAUUUGAACGACACUGCAUCUUGACAUGUCCGAACCUACAGCAGUUAUAGCAUUGGAUAGUGGGGUAAAUGUACAAAUCUACAGUUAAUGAUGUGUAAAACAUAAAUACUCUUUUUGGUAAUAUUUGUCCAUCAAAAGUAAUAACAAUGGUUUCAGUAUUAAUAAAACUUGGUUGUCCUUCA